rnacentral:misc_RNA from 1 species
GAUGAAGAACGCAGCGAAAUGCGAUAAGUAAUGUGAAUUGCAGAAUUCAGUGAAUCAUCGAAUCUUUGAACGCACAUUGCGCCCCUUGGUAUUCCGAGGGGCAUGCCUAUUCGAGCGUCAUUAUCACCCCUCAAGCUCCGGCUUGGUGUUGAGGCCUGCUGUAAAGGCACCCUCUAAAAUCAGUGGCAGUGCUGUCAGGCUCUAAGCGUAGUAAUUCUCUCGCUACAGGGUCCCGGUGGACACUCGCCAGAACCCCCCCAUUUUUUAAUGAUUGACCUCGGAUUAGGUAGGGAUACCCGCUGAACUUAAGCAUAUCAAUAACGGAGGA